rnacentral:lncRNA from 1 species
AAUGCAGGGCACAGCUGGUUCCCAGGUAGAGGGUGAUUCACCACACCCUCAAGAAAGACCAGGCUGUUUCCUCCCCUGCUCAAGGGGAAGUGAUCCCUCUCCUCUGGCACCGGAUCUCCUAGGGGGAGGGGCCAGAUGACAUCUCUGGCCCAGAAGAAGAGGUCUCAACAGGACAAGCUGAACCCAAACUGGUCUUGAGCCAUGUUCUGCUCUCUCCUUGCUCUUCUCCUCAGCACACUCUUAGGUGGGUGCUCUUCUUUUUGAAAGGCAUCUCUUCAAAUCCUCACCCUCACCCGGGACCCAGAGUCUCAGCUGUUUUGUUUCUCUCGAGGAUAAUCUUCCAAUUGCCUGGACUGGAUCUCGGCUUUUGUCCUAGUGGGCUAGUGUGCUGAGUCUCUGCUACCUCUAUCCCCAGGGGAGGAGGUUGAUCUUUUGGUCUCCCCUGCCUUGGUGACAUUUGGAGCCCUUGGUUCUGCCCAUACAUCCCCCAUGAUUGAGUCUGUGUGCUUGAGCCUUGGAAAGGCUUGAGCUGUGCUCUGCUGGGGUGGAAGACUGGCUGGGCUGGGCGCUUCCUCACUAAGGGGCGCUUUACCCUUCUCACAGGUGCCAGAGCUCAGACUAUCCAUCAAUGGCCAACUAGCAAGGUACAGCUUGUGGGCAGUCCCCUCUCUCUGGAGUGCACUGUGAAAGGGGCAUCAACUCCCAACUUAUACUGGUACCGACAGGCCGCAGGAGGGGCCCUCCAUCAGCUUUUCUACUCUGUGAGUGUUGGCCAGGUAGACCCCGAGAUGUUCCAGAACUUCUCAGCCUCCAGGCCUCAGAGUGGCCAGUUCUUUCUGAGCUCCAAGAAACUGCUCCUCGAGGACUCUGGCUUCUACUUCUGUGCCUGGAGUCUCACACUGCGCCGGGUGGGGCAGACAUCUGUGCAAAAACUCCACCUCUCCCCAGUCCUCCCCACCCUCCCCAGAAGCCCUCACUUAGGAGGGUGGAGGAGGUUUGCGACUGGGUUUCUGGCUGCUAGCCACGGCGACAUCCAGAAGUCAAUGUGAAUCAAGCUAGAAUUCUCCAAGGAACUGUACUAGGCUCUGUAUAAAAAGACUUAUUCAAGCAAAACCUGUGAAUUGUCUACCCAUCCUCAAGUGUCCAGCGUGUAGAGGUUUGGUCAUAGGCCAGCCCUCAAAACAUGUGGUACUUCGUC